GCCAGGCAUGGUGGCGCAUGCCUGUAAUCCCAGCUACUCGGGAGGCUGAGGUGGGAGAAUUGCUUGAACCCAAGAGACAGAGGCUGCAGUGAGGUAAGAUUGUACCACUGCACUCCAGCCUGGGUGACAGAGCAAGACCCCAUCUCAA
ensembl:misc_RNA Metazoa_SRP Metazoan signal recognition particle RNA